GCAUAGACUGUAAAGGUGUUCCCACUUAAACAGUAAUUAACACAGCCUUGAGGAUCCUUUAAAAGAAGCUUCUUUGGAUUCUGAAGACAUUGUGGAAAGCUGCUUGUUGGAGACGCUUGUUGCAGUUAGCAGUUGCUUGAAGAAAUCACACAGCAUACAUAUCCUGAAUGUACCUGGAUCUCUAACUAAAAUCAUGAUGUUGUGGAUUUCCUGCAUGCUUAUUGGCUACAUAACCUGUCGUCCUAUACAACAAGAAAAUGCUGCUCCACGCUUCAUGCAUUGGCCACCCCCUUCUAGCGAUCGGUAUUGGGGAAGAAGGGCCAGUUCUGACCCGGGCAGCAGCUCCUAUCUACCAACCAGUGUACCGCUACCGAGAUCUA